GUCCACUUGUUCCAGAUACAGUGACAGGAGAUAGUAAUGAUAACGACACCACAAAUCAACAAGGUGGGAAGUCUGGGAAAAAAGGAAAACGUCCCAAAAAGAAAAAUGUGGCGGUUGAAGCUGAAGCAGUCGUUGGUUGGAUAUCAGCAGAAUAUGUACGUGUCAACCGACGUCUAUUUUGUACUGUUUGCAAACUGUGUGUGUGUGUGUGAGUAAUGUUUAACUGCACCUGUGCUCUGUGUUAACACUCUUGCUUGCCUUUUUUUUAAAAUGUUGAUUCAGGAUGAGUCGGUGCUUUGAGGUUAAUUAUUUAAAUGACGCAAUAUCUUCAAUAGUGUAGACACACUCUUACGUAAUGUGAAGAUGGAAGAGAACCCAAGGUGACUUUGGAGGAUGACCAUGCCAAUGACCAAGGAAAUGUCUUUCUUUUUGAGAGCGUGUACUUCUUUGAAGAGUAACAUAGUGAAAGCCUUCGUGAUGAUAUUCUUAUGAGCUUUCAAGUUGAAGAUGGCCUCUCCCAAACAAAGCAAUCAAGCUGCUACCCAAGAAGACAUCUUUAUCAAGUCCCUUACAAACCUGGAUUAUAUAGUCUCUUCAUUUUAACAUGUUAACAUUCAACAGCUCAAAUUCAAAUCCGACUCACAGCCCUCUCUCUCUCUUUUCCUGUCUAUCUUUGACUGUACUAUCAAUAAAGGCAAAAAAAAAGCCCAAAAUAAUAAUAAAACAAAGUGUCAUGUUUGAUUGUGAGGUAAGUGUGUACACUUCCAUACAUGGAU